rnacentral:rRNA from 1 species
CACGGGGGGAGCAAGCGUUGUUCGGAAUCACUGGGCGUAAAGGGCGUGUAGGCGGUCAAGUAAGUGGAAUGUGAAAGCCCCCGGCUUACCCGGGGAUCUGCAUCCCAAACUGCUUGGCUUGAGUACGGGAGAGGAUAGGGGAAUUCCUGGUGUGGCGGUGAAAUGCGUAGAUAUCAGGAGGAACACCGGUGGCGAAGGCGCCUAUCUGGCCCGAUACUGACGCUGAGGCGCGAAAGCGUGGGGAGCGAACAGG